UCCGGAAUGGUGUAGUGGCUAGCAUUUCUGCCUCUCACGCAGGAGACCGGGGUUCAAUUCCCCGUUUCGGAA
rnacentral:tRNA from 2 species